rnacentral:sRNA from 1 species
GCUGGAAGCCUGGAAGCAGCAAGGAAGACUGACAGAUGGAACGGCGUCAUCUCAUGAUUGAGAGUUUGUGAGAUCAAAGACUAUUAUAUACAGAACUCAUAGGAGUUUUUGGACUGUUUUGACCAAAGCAUCUUUCGUUGGCGGUCCAUGGUCACACCUCAGAUUUUGAGACAUCGUACGGAUUUGUUACUAUAUAAAACGAAUAAGGUUCGAUCUUUACUAGUUACGGGAUAGAAUAGCGAUAAAUUAUUGCUAACUUUAGGGCUCUGAUUAUCCAUCUGUCUAGAUGGGGGAUUUCACUACCAAUUUAUAUGUGAUAGAUAGGUAUCUAACUUUUGAUAUUUAACUUUUUUGCUUUUGUGUGAUAGGUGCUGGUUUUG